rnacentral:rRNA from 1 species
CGACGUAGGUAACCUACCUAUUAGAGGGGAUAACUAUUGGAAACGAUAGCUAAUACCGCAUAACAGUAUGUAACACAUGUUAGAUGCUUGAAAGAUGCAAUUGCAUCGCUAGUAGAUGGACCUGCGUUGUAUUAGCUAGUAGGUAGGGUAAUGGCCUACCUAGGCAACGAUACAUAGCCGACCUGAGAGGGUGAUCGGCCACACUGGGACUGAGACACGGCCCAGACUCCUACGGGAGGAGCAGAG